ACCUAUCCAUGAUGAUAAAAAAAAAAAUAGACAGGUUGUAUUAACAUACGGCUCUCUUUUAUUUAUUAAUCAUUACUACAAUCUAUAUGUCCAAGUACAAUACGGAAUAUAACCCUAGUUCAUGCAGCAAGCCCACAUACGACACCCGGCCUCUCCCGACAUUCUGCCGUCGUCAUCUUUCAAUAUCCAGCUUGCCCGUAAGCUCUGGGUGUCCUGACUGCUGCACACAGCUUAAACUUAAAUGAAAUCGGAAGUAGAGGUGCGCGCGGGCCGUGCUUUUUUUCGUGGCCCGCGGGCUUUUGCCAAAAAAAACGUGCUCGUGCUAAACAUCGAGUUUCGUGCAGGUUCGUGCGGGCCCCGGGCCUAAGAAAAAAGCCUGGAGGCCCGCAAAAGCCCGGAGGCCCGCAAAAUCGAGCCGCACAAUCGGUGGGACUCCUGAUAUGAUAUGUCCCGGAUCGAACAUUGUAAUCGAUAGUUAGUAUUUUUAUUUAUCUUUGUAUUGUGAACUAGUCCGAAAUGUUAGGAUUAUUAGCCAAAAUGUAUGCGGGCACACUGAUUGUCGCCAUCGUAAGUUUCCAAUAAGCCGGGAAAACUUUGCAUUUUUCAUUAUCGCGCGAAAUCUUGGAGGACACUGCGAAUAAAACGAGCCUACAUCCAUGGAAUAGUCUGCCCUUUCUUUCGGGAUCCAUGGUGGAGUAGCCGUUUAAAGGCAACUCAGUUCACGCGACGAUAUCUUUUAUUCGCAGUCCGAGGGCGACUGCAAGGGCAACUUGCGCUGGAGGAGGGCUUAGACGGCCAGCUAGAGAGUUGCCAGGAGCCAGCAGGAGGAGUGCAGCCAGCGCUACUUGCCGGAAAAGGACUCGCAGUCAGCGACAGAGUCGUCGCAGCCAGCGACAGAGGAGCCGCCAGCGACGAACGGCGGUACAACUGGGUCGCAGCCAGCGACGAGGAGACGGACAGGAUCGUUAUUUGCGGAGACCGCAGCCAGCGGUCACGAGGCGCAAGGAGCGCCAAGCAUCGGCGGCCGCAGACAGUUGCCACAAGGCGUAGGAGACGCCAUAUUGGACGCGUAGGAGACGCCAUUUUUGGACGCUGCCAAAAUGGAUCUGGGGAAGAUCCAGCA